UACGUAGGGGGCGAGCGUUGUCCGGAUUUAUUGGGCGUAAAGAGCUCGUAGGCGGUGUGUCGCGUCGGCCGUGAAAACCUGCAGCUUAACUGUGGGCUUGCGGUCGAUACGGGCAUCACUGGAGUUCGGCAGGGGAGACUGGAAUUCCUGGUGUAGCGGUGAAAUGCGCAGAUAUCAGGAGGAACACCGGUGGCGAAGGCGGGUCUCUGGGCCGAUAUUGACGUGAGGAGCGAAAGCGUGGGGGAGCAAACAGG
rnacentral:rRNA from 1 species